CAAAAAGGGGAAAGAUUUGAACUGAUUGCCACCUCUUUUACAAUUAUUAUUGUAAGAAAUAAAGAGCUAAAGCAGUAAUU
rfam:Wenyingzhuangia fucanilytica strain CZ1127, complete genome.